CGCGUAGGCGGCUUGUCAGGUCUGACGUGAAAUGCCGGGGCUUAACCCCGGACGUGCAUCAGAAACCGGCUUGCUAGAGUCUGGGAGAGGGAAGUGGAAUUCCUGGUGUAGCGGUGAAAUGCGCAGAUAUCAGGAGGAACACCGGUAGCGAAGGCUGCUUCCUGGAACAGUACUGACGCUGAGGCGCGAAAGCUAGGGGAGCAAACA
rnacentral:rRNA from 1 species